GCCUGGGUAGCUCAGUCGGUUAAGCGUCUGACUUUGGCUUGGGUCAUGAUCUCAUGGUUUGUGGGUUCAAGACCCGCAUCAGGCU
rnacentral:tRNA from 1 species